UGCCGCUCGCAGCCUCGCGGGGCCGGCUUCCAGGCGGGCGGCGAUGAUCCUCGAGGAGAGGCCGGAUGGCCAGGGCGCCGGCGAGGACAGCGCCCAGCUGCAGGAGGCCGGCGGCGUCCGCAAGGUGGGGUGCCGGCGAGGGGUGCAGGCCCCCGGCCUCCUGCCCAGCUCUCGGAGGCUCGGUCGGGCGCGCGGCCUUCCAGGCAACCUCUGGGGAAACUGAGUCGCCGAGCGGGCCAGAGCCCGUAUCCCUCCCCCUCUGGGUUCCUCUCCAGUCCCUUUUGGGGUUCCCAAAAGGGGAAAGGAGGAGGCUUCCAGGACUCGCUAGGAGCCGAGGUCGGGACCAUCAUUCCCCUGAAGUUAGGGACCUAGGGACCCACUUCUUUGGCAGGUGUUGGCUUGUCCGUGACAGCUCCGGAUCAAGCUCGUUUUGUUCCUAGCUUUGCUUUCUGCACCCAUUAGGAACUGGGUGUCCAUCUGAUGUUGCGUGAAGGUGCAGGCAGCUGGCGCGUGCUGGACUGCAGACCAGGCAGUUUGCCCUCUCUGGGUUUCCCUGAACCUCUGCCCCCUCCAAAGUCCCUAAUGCGGGUGCUGACUGUGCCUGGGUUUCCAGGAGCCCUGGGGUCAGGGAUGGAGAGCCAUCCUGCCUGUGUCUUGCUCUGCAGCCCUAGUCUGGGGGUCAAUGAGCCCCCCCCCCCCCCGCGUUCAUGUGGGCUCUGGGCACCCAUGCCCUGCAUCAAGGGCUUUCAGUUGGAAUCUGCUGAGUGGCUCAUAUGGCUAGUCCCAGGCCUCUACCACAGGGCUUUGCCCUCUUUCCUAACCAGCAUCAGACUACACAUUGUCCCUUGCUGAUUCUAUUGAGCUUUUGUGUGUCUGUGGCUCAGGUCUCCUAGGGGAGGAGGGAAGGGAGGCCUCAGCCAGGAAUUAAGCUGCAAGGAAUUGGCCAGUAAAGGUGACCAGACCCACUAAGGAGCUCUGUCUCUCUGCCCACCCCUGGCAUGCCAGGUGCCACAGCACCUAGCAGGCACUGGACAGUGAAGGGACCUGUCUCCUGUCCUCUGUGAACUGUCCCUGGUAGGAUAGCCAUGCCAGCAGGUGGCCUUUGGCGGGAGCACAUGUUGCUUUGUGUGGAAGGAAUGUCUGGGGGCGUUGCACAAACAAGAUGUGCCAGUGGGCUUAUAAGACAGCACUUCUCGGGCUGCGGACUGCGGGCUGUGGCCAGGCCCUAUCUCUGCCCUCUCUUGGCUGCCACCCUAGAAGGGGAAUCGGAAACCCUCCCCAGUGGUUUCUUGGCUGCUGUGUCUUGUGCACACAUGCACUGGGAUGACCCACAGUCAGGGUUCCAGGGAGGUGGCCUUGCAGCCCCAGCCCUGCUCAGGCAGGCCCUAAGUCACACUGCACAGCUCAGGUGGCCUUGCCCUCUGGAAAGUCUUCUCCAAGCCCGCUGCAGGGCUGAGUGAGGCCAGGUUCCCCAGCAGGCCCCUGACCAGCCGUCCCACUCCAUCAGAUGGGGAAGAACUGGUUAGCUUGCGAGAAGCCAUGCCUGGGUCUGAGGCCCCCUGGACAGGGCUGGGUGACUUGGAUAUGCCCACUACUUCUCAGGCUGUGGGUGGUGGGCUGUGGCCAGGCCCUAUCUUUGCCCUUUCUUAGCUGCCACCCCAGAAAGGGCCUGGGCCUCAGUUUACCCAUCUGAAGAGCCACUCAUAUCCCCACCUGAAGGCUGACCUGAGGGAUGCAGGGAUUCUGCAGACCUUCGUGUCAGCCUCCUCAAGGUGAGGACCGCAGGUGGGCACUGACUGGCCGGAUGGGGAAGUGCCACAUGGCUGAGUCCCAUGGCUUCCUGGGACAGUCAAGGGCUGAGGGAUGAGAUCAGGGCAAUGGGACAGUGGGGGAGGUGGGAGGGGCUGGGCCUCUGUCGGUCUCUAGAACACCAGCCAGGUUAGUUCAACGUACCCUGCCUGGAUGGGCAUCAGAACCCUUCGGGUGCUUGACCCACAAAGGGGUUCCAGGGCCCUAGAGUGGGGCAUGUGACAUGGUGCCCAGGUGAACAUCAAAGGAGCAGUAUCCUGAGGACACGUGCCCUAUACUAAAGCUGGCAUGCCUGCCACACCGUUCCCCCUAGCACGUGUCACACUGUGUCCCCUUGGACCCUGUGCCCUAUUUGUGGACAGAGGUGGCAGCACUGGUGAAUGCUGAGUGUCCCCAUCCUCUGUUGAGGGGAGAGAGACCUCAGGAGGGAAGGCUGGGGCUCUCUGAGGUGGGUGAGUUCGCAGGCAGGGUGCUCAGGGGUCUGACACUGGGAUGGGGGUCUUUCCCAGAGAGCAAGCCCAGCUGGGCACCCCUGGGAGAAGGCAUGGGGCCAUCUUGCUCUGUUUGCUGUUCCAGUCCUGUGCCAGGCCAAGCGUCUCCUCCCUUUUGCGAGUCCUAGGGACAGCCCAGACUGGCCACUGCCCUCUCUUGGCUGCCACCCUAGAAGGGGGAUCAAGCACCAGGCCCUUGGUUUCUUGGAGGGAGUGGGUUGUUUCUGUUCUCCAUCCCUUUCCACACGGGCGAUCGCCAGGCCCUGCCCCUGCUUGAUGCACCCCUUUGGGAAUAUCGAAGACCACUACAGGUUCUCUCUGUACUGGAGAGAGCCAGAGGAAGUCAUGGUGGGGAUGAUGGCACAAGGGAGGGUUAGGUAGCCUUGUUUCCACAGAAUGAGGGCUGUUUAACAUGUCUGUGCCCUCCCCACUGCGCACACUCCUCAGCUCAGCGUGGGAAACUGGGCAUGGGGGCCACCAGCUUCCAGAGUCCACUCAGCCUGAGGCCCAGCUCUGACCUGCUCAUCCCCCUUCUCCCCACACUGGUUAGAAGACUGGCUUGGCCUCCUGGAAGGGACACUAAGGGUAGAGAAGCCAAGGAAGGACCCAGCACCUGGGGCAGGUGCCUGCAGGGCCCAGAGUGGUCUGGCUGGGACCUCCCUCCAGAAAGGGGGUCAGGGGCUGUCAUGCAGAUGAGGGCCACCCUGCCGAGCUGAGGCCCACUGCCCAGCCCUCGGAGCCUGCUGGCACCUUGCAGUGACUUUUGGUUCAGCAGUGGCCCACCUCUCCAGGAGACCGCCAUGACCUCCAUCUACCCUGCCCAGCAGGCAGGAGCUGCCGCUGAAAAAUCACAGGCCCUGGUGACAGCUGUGGGGCAGUGGAUGGAGGACGCUCCUUCCACUCUGCUCCCGCAUCUGCAGUGCUGGUGGCCCCGGUCCCCAGUGGGAGGUGCUCUAGCCGCUGCUUUUCCAACCUGGUUUGUCGGGGGGGGGGGGUCACCUCUCCCUUAUCACCCCAGGACCACUUGGGAGCCUCCUACCUUCAAGCCCCAGCCCAGAUGCCCCUCCUACAGGAAGUCUCCACUCCUUCUUGAGGAGCUGGCUGUGGAGGAGAGGAGCCUCCUCCGUGCCAGGACAUAGGUCACCCUUGGGGAACGCCCUCCAAGGGACUGGGAUAAGCGACGGCCCUGGAGGGUCUGAGUCUCUCCUAGAGUGACAGUAAGCCACACUUCUUUGAAUGUGUGGCCAGAAUCAGCACUGCACAGAUUAGAGCCACCUCCUGUCUGCUGUCGGGACAGGGUCCUGCCAGCUCUGUGGCUUCCUCCCUGUUCUGUUAGGGUGUCAAUGACCACCAUGGGGAAGCUGCCCAGGAAAGGAGGCUUCUGAGAGGUCCUCACCAGCCCCUGGAUGGUGAGUGACCCAGGCCAGGCAAGGCCCCGAUUGACUCAGAGGGGUUCUGAUCUCAGGCUGCACCUCACCCGUGUCCCUACUCCCUGGCAGUGCUGGGAGGAAGCCGACAGCCAGAGAAGAAUGGCGGGAGUAGCCCAGGCCACUUUCCUCAUGUCUCCUGGGAGGAACCUGCAUUCUACUGGGGCUGAACAUCUUGCUGUCCACCUGUACUAGCUGCCCACAGAGUGCAGGCCCACAGCCUGUGGCUGUGGUGUCCGUGGCUGCCUGGUGCCUAUGGCCAUACCACCCUGCAGGCCCUGUGGGCAGAGCCCUGGAGCCAGGCUCUAUCAGAUCCCCAGGUUUCAGGGACAGGCCUCUUGUUAAAGCUGCUCACCCUGGGCCUUAGUGGUGGGCCCACUGGAAAGGUGGCCCAGCCCCCAAGGAGGGCUGCACUCCCUGUUUGGCUGGGCCACAGGUCCCCAAGGAGUGAGAAGAGGGCUCCAGAGAGAGCAGAUAGGGAGGGCUUCCUGCUAGGGCUUUGCAUCCUGCCUUGAAAGGUGGGCCAAGGGGACGGGUGCAGCUCUGUGGACGAGUGUCUGCUUGGCACAUGGGAGGCCCAAGGUGGACCCCAGCACUGGAAAGCAUCACAGUCUCCUGUGUUCUAAGAGCCAGGUGCAGUGGCAGCACCUGUAGUCUCUGCUGAGGUGGGAAGAACACUUGAGCCCAGGGGUUAAGACCAGUGGGAGACCUAGGAGGCCCCAUCUAUACCGGAGAAGGUGGGCAUGAGGGCUGGUGUGAUGGGUGGCUGUGCAGGGAAGCCACUUGACAGGUGGCCCAGUUAGCUGAGGCUGGCAUCUAUGGUGACCUGAGGGGAGAACCCUGUGCUGGCUGCGUUCUGAGACUGUCAGGCUCUAGCCCCUGGUGACUCUCCCUUCCCCGAGCACUGCCGAGGUCCUCUGGGCCUGACAAGCCAGCCUGUGGGGGCUCUGUGGGCUGGGCAUAACCCACUGCUCUCUGCAGGUCUCUGACCCCAUGGCACAGACUCAGCACAGCUGGCUGCAGAGUGUGAGGGCCCGGAUAAGUCAGCAGAUCAGCAAAGAGCUGCGGAUGCGGACAGGGGCUGAGAACCUCUACAGGUGAGCACCUGCCGCUCCCUCCCCUCCCCGGGGGAGGGCCACAGGCCAAGGGUGGUGGCCCAGGUGGCUGUCUGCCUGCAGUCGGUCCAGAAGCCAGCGUGAGCAGGUUUCCCUCUGGGUCCCCACAGCCAAGCAGUACACUUACUGCUCAGCCAAGACCCCGACAGGGCAGGCCCGGCCCACCUCUGGGCCCUUGGGCUGGGGCCCAGACACCCCCAGCUUCUGACUUCCCCUGGCCUCCCCAGAGCCACCAGCAAUGACCGGGUCAGAGAGACAGUCGCCUUGGAGCUGAGCUACGUCAACUCCAACCUGCAGCUGCUGAAGGAGGAGCUGGAGGGGCUCAGCAGUGGCCCAGACACGCACCAGCCUGAGGGGUAGGGCCUGCAGCCUGGCCACUCAGCACGCACAUGUAGGCGGGGCUGCUGUGGGCAGCAGGUCCCAGCCAGUGCUUCUGGUUCUAGCGAAGGUGUCACUGUCCCCAUGAUACCCCUGGGCCUAAAGGAGACCACGGAAUUGGACUGGGCCACCCCGCUGAAGGUAAGCGCUGGCGACAACUUCUGAGUGACAGCCUUGUCCUGGUCCAGGUGUCUCUGAACAGAUGUGGAGACAGGGCCACAGGGAGGUGGGGCUGACUCGGGGCCACCAGGGACCCAGCAUCCCACCCUGGGCAGGCCUGCUGAGCUGGGACUCUGCCCUAGGAUAAUGUAAUGGGAGCCCCAGGACACCUGCAGGGACCCGGGGCUCUCCUGCAUAGGGUUCCCUGGCUCAGGCCGCCUCCCACCCGUGGAGCUGUGCUGUGGGGCCAUAGCUACCCAGUGUUUGGGAGGGCUCAGACCCAAGAACAGAGCCGUGUCCCAUCCGCCACUGCCUGGCAGGGCCCCGAGGGAAAAUGAAUUGACUUUGUGCCUCAGAGUCUGAGUCUCCAAGUGACACAUGGCACCUGCCUCUUGGGAUUGCCAUGGGAUUGAUAAGGGAAUUGUGUAAAAUUAGCACCAACAAGAAUCCACGACUUCCCACCGCAUGCCAGGCCCUCAGCCUCACAAGCCUUCUGCUGAGGGCUUCGAGGGCCCUGGACCCAUGUGGGCAGCUGGCCUGCUCAGUGCUGGGACCUUCCCCUCCCUGGGGCAGGCUGCCAAACACAGGGUGCCCGGAGGCCAACACCUGUCCUUCUGUCAGGAGCUGAUUUCAGGGCACUUUGGAGAGGACGGUGCCUCCUAUGAGGCGGAGAUCAGGGAGCUGGAGGGCCUGCGGCAGGUGGGUGGCUAUGCCCCUCCCACCUCUCCUCCUGCAGCGCUGGCACUGAAGCCUGGAAUUGGAGCCAGUGUAGCCUCGCGCAGCAGGAGGCCCUCCUCUUGGGAGGACAUCAGGGAGACAGGCACCCCAGUGUGUAGGGAAGGGCCCAGGAGCCACAGAUGGCCACGGGGUACUCUGUUCCUGUUCCCUCCUCAGAGCCCUACCUGCUCUCUGGACUCAGGCUGCCUGGCCUGGUGCCCACGGUCCCCUGGGGCAGCAUGUGCUUCCACAGGCUGAUGCCCAGGGGAUUUUUAGGGCAGUGGGGUGGGGUGGGGACUGGGCAGGGGCCCAGCCAGCUCCUGCCCUGCAGGCCAUGCGGACCCCCAGCCGAGAUGAUGCGGGCCUGAAGCUGCUCGCAGCCUACUACAGCCAGCUCUGCUUCCUGGAGGGACGCUUUUUCAGCCCUGCCCGGAGCCUCGGGCUGAUCUUCCACUGGUAGGGGCCUGGGAUGGUGGGAUACCCUGGGGAGGAGGGCCUGGUGCCAUGGGAACCACACCCAGCCUGACCCUCUACAGGUACGACUCUCUCACGGGGGUCCCUGCACAGCAGAGGGCCCUGGCGUUUGAGAAGGGCAGCGUGCUGUUCAACAUCGGGGCCCUCCACACACAGAUCGGGGCACGCCAGGACCGCUCCUGUGUGGCGGGUGCCCGCCGGGCCGCUCAGGCCUUCCAGCUGGCUGCUGGUGAGAGCAGCCCAGACCCUGCAGAGGGCCCACAUCCCACCUUCAUUGGGCAGAAACCCAGGGCAGGUGGGACACGCUGGCCCUUCCUGGGGGCCCUGCCAUGUGAGUACCCACUCUGCCCACAGGGGCCUUCAGCCUCCUGAGGGAGAACUUCUCCCAGGCACCGAGCCCAGACAUGAGCACCACCUGCCUCUCCACGCUGGAGCGACUCAUGGCCACCCAGGCCCAGGAGUGUGUCUUUGAAGGCCUUUCACUGCCAGCCCUGGCCGUCCCCCACGACUGCCUGGCUCAGCUGCACCUGGCUCAGGAGGCGGCCCAGGUAAGGCCAGGGAGCCCUGCCCAGGACCCUCAACAACAGGCCCUCCACUGGCAGGAGGCCUGGGAGAGCAUGGAGUCUGCGGACAGGACCACAGGUCGGAAAAGCUAGUCAAGAGACAGAGACGGGUACCCCCCCCCCCCGGCCUCCCCAAAACCAGCUGCUGCUGUUCAUAGCGUCCUGAGUCCCUGCCUCAGGGGACAGCAUGAUCAGGGCAGGAACUGGGGCCCUGAGCGCCCAGGCUAUGGAGAGGCAGGAGGCUCAGGCUGGCUGCAGGGCCCCACUAGCUUUGUCUCUUGAGCUCCAAUGUGCCCACACAUCUGCUGGCAGGUGGCAGCUGAGUACAGGCUUGUGCACCAGGCCAUGGCCCAGCCACCUGUCCAGGACUACGUGCCUGCCUCCUGGAUCACCCUGGUGCACGUCAAGGCUGAACAUUUCCACGCCCUGGCCCACUAUCACGCAGCCACAGCCCUCUGUGACGGCUCCUGUGAGUGCCCUGCCCCGUGUGCCUGUGUGCCUGCCAGGUGCCUGCUCACAGCUCAUGGCCUGUCUGAUCCCCAGUGGCAGCUGAAGGAGAGCUCCCCGCGUAUGAGCAGGUCUUCCAGCCCCCAACCCCUGGCGAGCCCCACAGCCCGACGCUGCCCCAGCAACCCGAGGAGCGCAGAAACCUUGGUGAGGCACAGAGGGCUCUGGUGCUCACGCCCUGGGCCAGCUGCCGCAGUGUGCUCCUCCCCCACCUGCCCCCAGUCCUGCCCCAGUGGGUAACUGUGGAGAGCGGGGCCUUAGCAGUGCAGGGCAGCCCCGCAGAUGGGGGUGCCCUAGGGGAAGCUCCACCCCAGCCCUGCUGUUUGCACCUCCCGACCCCCGACCCCCGUAGCCCACACCCUACCUGCCACAUCCUGGGGGCAGGGGGCAGGGUUGGCCUCCAGGGGCCAGCAGGCGGGCCAUCAGCGUGUGACGAUGCUGUGCUCUGUGUGCAGCCAAGGCCCACCUGAAGCGCGCCAUUCUGGGCCAGGAGGAGGCGCUGAGGCUGCAUGCUUCAUGCCGUGUCCUGCGCAAGGUGGACCUGCUGCAGGCUGUGGUGGCCCAGGCACUGAGGCACUCGUUGGCCAAGUACUCGGAGCUCGAGCGCGAGGAUGACUUCUUUGAGGCCGCUGAGGCCCCAGACAUCCAGCGUGAGCAGCCUGGGCCCAUCCAGAUGGGUGUGCCCUCAGCCUGGCUAGAGGAAGAUGGCUGAGCCCUGAAGUGCCCCUCAAAGAUGCAGUCUCCAAGGCCACAUGCAGGACCUUUGGGGCCAGGGAGGGCGGGAGCUCCAGCUGGCCCGAGGAAGCACCUGGAUCGAGACCCCCUGCUCUCUCCCUUUCCACCCUUUCCCCUUCUGACUCCUGCCCGGGGGGACCCUGUGGUCAGACAGAGACAGCUGGGCUUCAGGGAGGGGUCCUGGAGCAGGUGGAGGGGCGCCUGUUCAGGGACCUGGGGCAGCUCUACCCUCCAGCUACCAGAGGGCCGUGUGCACCUAGUGUUGCCGGCUCCUCUAGGGUGGAGUCAGGUCCCUCUGGUGGAACCAGCGGCCUGAGGCCCCUGAGCCUUGGGCUCAGCCCUGCUCCUCCAUUCCUUCCCACCCCUCUCAGCUAAGACCCACCAGAAGUCCGAGGUCAGGGUGCCCAGCCUGUCCUUCAUGAAGGCGGCCGACAUCUUUCACCGUCUGGUGAGCAAGCUGCUCCUGCCCUCUCUCUACAGCAGGCUUGGGCAUUAGGUUCUGCCCUGUAUGUCCACUGGCAGGAGCCCCCAAUGGUCCCUGGGUGGUGGCCCAGCCCUGUGCCUCCUACUGGCACCUCCCUGGCUCCUGUCCUGAGAGGUACAGGUGCUUGCCAGGCCGGGCCCCUCGGACUGCAGCCAAGCCAGCCUCUGACCCCUGCCUCCUCCAGGGACCCCUGCCCGUGUUCUCAGCCAAGAAUCGGUGGCAACUGGUGGGGCCCAUCCACCUGACCCGGGGAGAGGGCGGCUUCGGCUUCACGCUUCGGGGAGACUCCCCCGUCCUUAUUGCUGCUGUGGUCCCUGGCGGGCAAGCUGCGGUAAGGGCCCGCUGGCCUUGGAGGCUGAGUCCCCAGGACUCCAGCCAGACCUGCUCUUGCUCCUCACUGGUCUGUGUCCCCAACAGGCGGCUGGCCUCCAGCAGGGUGACUACAUCGUGUCCCUGAACGGGCAGCCCUGCAAGUGGUGGAGGCACGCGGACGUCGUGGCGCAGCUGAGGGAGGCGGGCGCAGCGGGCGUGAGUCUGCAGGUGGCUUCACUGCUGCCCAGACAUGAGCCACGCAGCACAGUGAGUCCUGGGGCCUGGGCCUGGACCUCCCUGGUGCUCAUGAGGCCUCUGAAAGAGGAGCGGUGGGCAGUGGCCCUCACUGGGGUGGCCUUCUGACGAGUGGCCACCUGUGCUGCUGCAUCACCUGGUGGCUGGCCUCCCCCCCAGAAAGGCCCCCCACCUCAGCAGGAUCCGAGGCUUCCAGCUGGGUUCCUCCAGAGGUCACGUCCACCUGGUGGGUCCACCCAAGGACUGGGUGACGAGCAGCAAGGGGAACAGAGCCCCUGGACAUGCCCCCAGCACGCCUGCCUCCUCCCUGGCUCACUACAGGCCACCCAGGUGGUAGCUGACCACAUCCUUCUCUGUCCUGGCUGCAGGGGGACCGCCAGCCAGCUCUGCUGGGCCCAGGGAGGCUUCCGAGGAGCCAGAGAGCGUGCGGUUUCGAGAUGCCAGCACCCACCCGUGCCAGUCCCCAGCCCCUCCUUGUCUGGAGCCGCAGGGCCAAGCAGAGCAAGCCCGGGGGCCGCCCCCCACCCUGCACUGGUGGGGACUGUGGCACCUGUCCCUGAGUCAGCCAUGGUCCCUGCACCCUCCAAGUGCCCAGCGUGUCUCUGAGGACUGGAAGCAGCCCAAGCAUUCUGUUUCUCACCCUCAGGGACCUUCAGGCUGGGCCUGCCCUGCUCGGGGCCAGAGCUGCCCAUUAAAGACUCUGGUUAGACAAGCCAGAUCAGAGCCCAGUGCUGGGGCCACGGCCACCUCACCAAGAGGAAGCACCCCCUGCCCUUUGGGCACAGUGCUCAUACAGCCACUCUCCGAGGAGGACAGUGGGGGUGGGGUGAGGGGUCUCUCCCUGAGAGAUGCUGUAGGCUCUGGGUGGGGCUUUACUCUGCAGCACGCCCCUGGCCCCAUGUAAUCCUGUCCACAUGCUCAGAGCCCUGUCCACCUUGCUGCUGCCCUGGCUGCAGCCUCGCUUCAGCUGCCCUGGGCUCCAAACCUCCACCCAGCCCUCCAAAGGCCAAGCUUCUGCCUCAUGUGUGGUUCUGCUCUGGGAACCCCUGGACUGUCCUCACCCCAGCUGGACAAAGCUAGGCCCCCUUGCUGAUUAGCUGCUCUCCGAAUAGGGUCCCAGCAAAGGCCGGUUGUUCUCCGGCCCUUGUCUGCCGCCCAGGAAGCACUGGCAAAGAGACUGAGCCCCCUGGUAGCCUGCACUUGCUGUCUCUGUGUCCAGCCCCACCUGCCCGCCAGGGCCCUGGCAGCCCUCGGAUGUGCCUCCACGGGCAGGAGCAGUGAUCCCCAGGUCCCUUGGAGGGGUGGGCUCAGGACCUGGGCCCCAAAUGGAUGAGGUGAGAAGGGGAGCACGGGCCACAGGCCAAGCCGUACCAGACAGAGGCCACAAGGGGCCCUUCCACCAAGGGCCGGGGGGGUUGAGGACAGGACCCUGGUCACUGGUGUUACUCCCCAAGGCCACCAGGGGGCAGCCGCCACCCACUGACAGCCACAGGAGGGGAGAGUAUGAGGCAGCAGAUCAAGGAAGGCAGAGCAGUCCACUCUGCACUCUGGCCCUGGUUCCAUGGUCCUGGGCCUGCUGUCCAUUACCCCUGCACACCACCCGUCAGCACUGACGGCCAGGUCCCAAGUGGGGGUGGUUCAUGUGUGUGUGUAGGCAUGGGGGGUAAGUGUGUGUUUGGAAGCCCUGAGCACAGAGGCGCCCUCUUCCAAAGCAGAAGGGCAGGACUCCCGGGCCUGCGGGAGUUGGGGGUGGGAGUCCCAGGGUGUCCUGCCACCACAGCCCACCUGGGAGAAUCCCCGUCAGCAGAACAGGCUAAGGUCACGCAGGAGGUCUCAGCACGUGUUAAGUCGAUUAAUAAAAUCAUGCUUCAAGAAGGUCAUUA
rnacentral:lncRNA from 1 species